GUGGGGAAUAUUGGACAAUGGGCGCAAGCCUGAUCCAGCCAUGCCGCGUGAGUGAUGAAGGCCCUAGGGUUGUAAAGCUCUUUCAGUGGGGACGAUAAUGACGGUACCCACAGAAGAAGCCCCGGCUAACUUCGUGCCAGCAGCCGCGGUAAUACGAAGGGGGCUAGCGUUGUUAGGAUUUACUGGGCGUAAAGCGCACGUAGGCGGAUCGUUAAGUCGAGGGUGAAAUCCUGGAGCUCAACUCCAGAACGGCCUUCGAUACUGGCGAUCUUGAGUCCGGAAGAGGUGAGUGGAACUCCUAGGGUAGAGGUGGAAUUCGUAGAUAUUAGGAAGAACACCAGUGGCGAAGGCGGCUCACUGGUCCGGUACUGACGCUGAGGUGCGAAAGCGUGGGGAGCAAACAGGAUUAGAAACCCGAGUAGUCC
rnacentral:rRNA from 1 species